rnacentral:lncRNA from 1 species
UCGGUGAAGGUUGCCCCGGGAAUGUAUCGGCUGGCACAAGGCAGCUUGAGGGCCUGUCAUCCAUAGAAGUGCCAGUCAGGUGUCACAGAAACAGCCCAGUGUGGCCAGGGUGCAAAACCUCAAGUUCAAGUGAAGAGGAAGCUGAAAACUGGAAUAUUAAUGCUAAACAUGGGAGGACCUGAAACCCUCUGACACGUUCAUGACUUCCUUCUGAGGCUCUUUUUGGACCAAGACCUCAUGACACUUACUGUUCAAAAUAAGUUUACACCAUUCUUUGCCAAAUGCAGAACCUCCAAGAUUCAAGGGCAGUACCACAGAACAGGAGGUGGGUCCUCCAUCAAGAUGUGGAUUUCCAAGCAGGGAGAAGGUAUUAUGGUGAAGCUGCUGGAUGACUUGUCCCCCUACACAGCCCCUCACAAAUAAUACUUCAUUGGAUUUUGGCAUGUCCAUUCUUUACUAAAAGAAGCAAAUGAAGAGAUGGAGAGAGAUGGCCUGGAAAGGGCUAUUGCUUUCAUGCAGGAUCCACAGUAUGCUUGCUGUACCACAGGCGGCAGCUUAAAUGCCAUUUAAAGAUCCUAUAAUAGAGUGGGACAGAAGUUUACAAUGAAGUGCAGCACUAUCAGUAGGUGGCCCACCCAUUGCCUCCUCACCCACUGCUUUGUUGACUACAUUCUGAAAGAGCUGGACCAUUUUCCACUGGAGAAGAGAAGCGAGUCGGCCAUUCUCUUUUCUGCUCACUCACUGCCAAUAUCCGUGAUCAACAGAGGAGACCCCUAUUCUCAGGAGUUAAGUGCCACUAUCCAAAAAGUCAUAGAAAGGUUGGGUUACUGCAACCCUUACCAGCUGGUGUGAGGAUCCAAGGUUGGUUCAGUGCCCUGGAUGGGUCUUCAAACAGAUGAAAUCUAUCAGAGGGCUUUCUGAGAGGGGAAAGAAGAAUAUCCUCUCACUUUUGAUAGCAUUUACCAACGAUAACACCGAAAUGCUGUAGAAACUGGAUAUCGAGUACGCUCAAGUUUUAGACAAUGAGUGUGGAGUUGAAAACAUCAGAAGAGCAGCCUCUUAAUGAAAAUCUAGUGUUCUCUAAGGCCCUGGCUUACUUGGUGCACUCACCUAUCCAGUUAAACGAGCUGUGCUCCACAGAGUUGACUCUGAGUUGUCUGCUCAGUGUAAAUCCUGUCUGCAGGGAGAUUAAAUUCUUCACCAAUUCUAAAUUG